UACGGAGGGUGCGAGCGUUGUCCGGAAUCAUUGGGCGUAAAGGGCGCGUAGGUGGCUUCUUAAGCGUGCGGUGAAAGCCUGGGGCUCAACCCCGGGUCGGCCGUGCGAACUGGGGGGCUGGAGCACUGUAGAGGCAGGCGGAAUUCCGGGUGUAGCGGUGGAAUGCGUAGUGAUCCGGAAGAACACCGGUGGCGAAGGCGGCCUGCUGGGCAGUUGCUGACACUGAGGCGCGACAGCGUGGGGAGCAAACAGG
rnacentral:rRNA from 1 species